GGGCGUGGCUCAGCCUGGUAGCGCGCUUCGCUCGGGACGAAGAGGCCGUGGGUUCGAAAGCCUUCGGAUGCCCG
rnacentral:tRNA from 1 species